rnacentral:rRNA from 1 species
UACGUAGGGUGCGAGCGUUGUCCGGAAUUACUGGGCGUAAAGGGCUCGUAGGCGGCCAACUAAGUCAGACGUGAAAUCCCUCGGCUUAACCGGGGAACUGCGUCUGAUACUGGAUGGCUUGAGUUUGGGAGAGGGAUGCGGAAUUCCAGGUGUAGCGGUGAAAUGCGUAGAUAUCAGGAAGAACACCCGUGGCGAAAGCGGCUCUCUGGGACGGUACUGACGCUGAGACGCGAAAGCGUGGGGAGCGAACAGG